AUCCAGCUGAUGAGUCUCAAAUAGGACGAAAUGCCGUUUAUCCUGGAU
rnacentral:hammerhead_ribozyme from 1 species